rnacentral:lncRNA from 1 species
GGGUGAAAAGAACAAAGUUUUGUCCAUAUUUGUUCAUCAUAGCUGAAAGUUAGAGAAGAGAAAGGAGAGGAGAAAGCUCUUGAAUGUUCGGUCACUUGGGGAAGAAAAUUGAAGGUAAGUUCAUGGUAGUUUGCUUCUAUCUUGAUGUUCAUGAGUUCUUCUCGAUUCUACCUUAACUCUUGAAUCAUAUUUUGGUUUUUAGUUGUGUUGUGAGCAUUUAGUCAUGAAUUAAAAUGAAGGAAAUGGUUGUUGUUUCAUGUUCUUUUGAUGAAAAAUGGAAGAUAGGUGAAGUUGAGCCAAACAAAUGAGCAUGCCUGUGCCUUAGAUGCUAAGCGAAAAAUCAGCUAACAUGUUGUGCUUUAAAAUGAUGAAAUGGAGAUUAUACUUAAGUAAAAUCAUAGAUAUGUGAUGAUUGAUUGGUGAUAUACAUGUUUAAAUAACAAGCAUGCAAGUUAGGUGUGAAAGAGUGAUUUGGUAAUAAAUCUGCUUGGGACAGCAGCAGUAACGUGACUUUGGAAAAUCACCAUAAAUUGUGGGAGAUGAGUUGGAAGCUGAAUAAAUUAUGUAAUUAAAGCUUAAUGAGUCUAGUUUCAAAUGGAAUAAACGAGAACAUAUUUUGAAUUCUGUACAAUGAGAAAUUUGAUUCGUAAUGAAGAGUGGUCAGAUUAGUCAAACAGUGAAACAUGCGAAACUUUGAGAAAAUUCUGGUAUUGAUUGGCCAAACCAAAAAUUAUGAAAAUUUUAUAGAUAUAAGAUAUAUGAGUCUAUUUUCAGGGAAAAUUAACGGCACUUGAUUUGGAGUUUCGUAGCUCCAGUUAUAAAUAAUUUAGUGACUGUUGCUCAGGAAGACAGUUUGCAGUAAAAUUAUGAUUAUGUGGUAAACAUUGACAAAAAUUUGUUAAUGAGUUGCUUAUUGAUUUCUUAUAAGCUUACUAUGAUCUGUAGGUGUGGUUGGCCGAAUAUUGUAAGGGGUUAAUACGUAAUUUGUAUUUGAAUAGUUAGAUUAACGUGUUAGUAAUCCAAUUGUAGGCGGUUCGUGCGUAGAUCUCGUCAGCAUAUCGUCGCAAACAGGUGUGUAACUAACACCCUCUUUCUUAGCCUGGAUCGGGAAAAGUCGAAAAGCCGAAAUGCCGAAAAUCGGUAUUUUGUAGAUUUGCAAGUGUGCGAAUGCUCGUGAUGUAAAUCGAUUAAUGUUUUUGGUAAACUGCAAAAUUUGGACUGCAAUGUGCAUUAUUUCUGUGCCAUCGAUAUUUUUGGGCUUAAUGGGCCAAAAUUUGAAAUGAUGGGCCAACGGGCCCAAUUGGGUAAGAACCCUCGAUACGUGAUUCUGUUAGUACGUGAAAAGUAGGAAUAUGCAUGAAAAACCCUAAAAUAGAUAAAUUACUGAAAUACCUUUAAAAGUAAAAAAUUUACAAUUUUACCCCUAGUAGAUAAAUUACUGAAAUACCCCUAGGGUUAAAUUGACCUAAAUGCAUGUUUGAUUGUUGUUAUUUACUGCAUGCCAUGUUGUUAUUAUCUGAUGCAUGGGACUGGGAUAUUGACGGAGGAAGUACUGAAAGUGGCUUGUCCACGUACUGGAGGCUUUGCCUCAAUUUACUGUUAACUGAGCAGCAAGGCUGCAACUGUGGAGUGUAGUGGUUGGUGGGUUGAGUAGUCUCCCCAAAUGGGCUUGCAUAUGUUUACUGAUGUUGCAUGUAUUUUGAAAUGGGCCUAUAGGCCAUACUGUUAUCUGAAUAAGGGGCUAAGGCCCAGCUUAUUGUAAUCUGAAAAGGGCUCUGGCCCAGUACCACUGUUACCCAAAUGGGC